UUUCCGUAGGUGAACCUGCGGAAGGAUCAUUACUGAUUGAGGGCCCUCUGGGUCCAACAUCCCACCGGGGUUAAUUGUACCUUGUUUCUUCGAUUAGCCCUCCUCACGUCCGCCGGGGCGCAUCUGCCCCCGGUCCCUCCCUCCGCGCAGACACCCUUGAACUCUGUAUGAACUUUUCAGUCUGAGCGACUGCUAAAUAAGUUAAAACUUUCAACAACAGAUCCCUUUGUUCCGGCAUCGAUAACGAACGAAGCAGAACGAAAGAGCAAACGCCUGAAC
rnacentral:misc_RNA from 1 species